AGAGUUCAAAUUAGAACAGAAUUAUUUCCAUGUAUUUCCUGAUUUGAAGAUAUAGUUUGUAAGCCAAAGUUUCCAGAUUAAUAAGGAGCAGCUUUAAAAAAAUAUAAAUGCCAAUCUUUUACAUCAAUAGAGGUAAUAUUCUUGGAAGAGGAAAUUGGUCGGUCGAUAUGUGUCGGCAUCUUCUCGGCGUUUAUAACGAAAACAAAGACAGAAUGAUAAAUCUACUGCAUCAAAACUUCUGAAUGAGUUGUCUAGCUGAGAAGUAUUGACUUGAAAAAAAGAUCAGCGAUGUAGGGGGAAAAAAGGACAGAAAUAACUCUCUCAAAAGUCAUUUUCUAUCGCUUCAGUACCAUUUCCUUUUUCAGAUAGUAAAUUUUCGACUUGAAUGUCCUGACGGUAGUUUCUUUCGACUCGAACAAAUGGAAUUCUGCAAAAUCCGUCCGAUUGGAACGGACUCUUUUUCUCCUCCUUUGACCUUUUUCUUCUGUUUUCUUAUCCAGCAACAUCUAAUAGUGUGCAGAUGUGAAAUGACACCUUCUGCUUCCGCCUCAGCAGUCAGUUUUACUUCUACUGUAAGUUGCACACCAUCCUUCAUUCUCGCUUGGAUAUCACAGGUAGUAAAUUUUCCGCUUGGGUGUUUCGAUGGUAGUUUCUUUCGAUUCGAAAGAACGGAAUCCUGCAAACUAUUUCCUCCUUGUUUGACAUUUUUUUCGUUUUCGUCCAACAUUUAAUGACGCGCAGAUGUGAAAUGUCAUCCUUUGCUACUACAGAAGUUAGCUCUUCUGGAACUUGCACGUCAUCCUUCACUUACGCAUGGAUGCCAAAGAUAAAUAGAAAUAAAUAACUUCUGUCAGAAAACAGUUAUGCAAAAUGAGGUGAAUUUCUGUUAGCAUUUCAUUUUGGCGCCAUCAAUUUGACAGUGUCUCUCUUAGCAACAAAAGAGUUUUUUGCUCAAGAAAGGAAAUUUUUUAUAAUG